rnacentral:rRNA from 1 species
AUGAGAGGAUUAGAGAGGAGGGGCGUCCGGCAGUACAACCGGUCGGAUGAGCCACGGAUGCGUUGGACGGAGGAGCUUCACCGGCAGUUCAUCGAGGCCGUCGACUGCCUCGGCGGCCAGGACGAGGCAACACCAAAGCGAAUUCUUCAGCUGAUGGGCACAAAGGGAGUCAGCAUAUCUCACAUCAAAAGCCAUCUCCAGAUGUACAGAUCAAGCUCUAGCGGCGGCGGCAGCGGCAGCAGCAACCCACCCUAUGCAUCAGUGAAUCGUCGUCAAGAUCACUGCAUCGAUGGGAACAUCACGGCAACGUCGGCUUCAGACUGGAUCGACAUUCCCUCUUACGCUGUGUUUGGUCGCGGCCACCACUCGAUGUCACCGCCGUGCCAAAUACCGUCCAUCGAGGAGGUUUUCAGGAGCUGGGAGCAGAGUAGAGGGCGGCUGCAAUGGAACUCCUCCGGCAUGCUAAAUACACCAGAGAAGGCGACUGGCUGGUCACAUCACGCUAAUGGCAAGAUGUGUCAGAAGCAGCAGCGGGCAGCGGUGGGGUGUGACCUGGCGCUAUCGGUUGGCCGGUGGGAGGAGGAGGUCGCGAGUAGUGACACUGACAUCUCGAGCACGACCACUGAGGAGGCCGUCGUGCCGGCAAGGGGUUAUGGGGCUAGUGGCCACCGCCGCCCUGAGGCUUCCGCUGAUCUGAACCUCGACCUGAACCUCGAUCUUGCCAUCUCAUCUUCUUGGCUCUGA